rnacentral:RNase_P_RNA from 2 species
CUGGCACGGUAAGCGGUCGCUUUUGCAUCUUGCAAAAGAGGAAAGUCCGAGCUGCGAUAAGACAAAGUUCCAUCUAACGGAUGGCUAGGGAAACCUAAGGGAUAGUGUAACAGAAAGCAAACUUCCGCCUUGGCGGUAAAGGUGAAAUGGCGGGGUAAGAGCCCACCGGCACGCUUGGUAACUUGCGUGGCCAUAUAAACCCAACUUGCAGUAAGAAGGGAUGGUUUUGGUCUUAUAUUAAAACCCUUCGCUAGAGCUUGUUUGUAAAAGCAAGCGUAGAUAAAUGAUCGCUCAAGACAGAACUCGGCUUAACGCCGUGCCUCCCUU